rnacentral:rRNA from 1 species
UGGGGAAUAUUGCACAAUGGGCGAAAGCCUGAUGCAGCGACGCCGCGUGAGGGAUGACGGCCUUCGGGUUGUAAACCUCUUUCGCUCAUGGUCAAGCCGCAGCUGUGGGUUGUGGUGAGGGUAGUGGGUAAAGAAGCGCCGGCUAACUACGUGCCAGCAGCCGCGGUAAUACGUAGGGCGCGAGCGUUGUCCGGAAUUAUUGGGCGUAAAGGGCUUGUAGGCGGUUGGUCGCGUCUGCCGUGAAAUCCUCUGGCUUAACUGGGGGCGUGCGGUGGGUACGGGCUGACUUGAGUGCGGUAGGGGGGACUGGAACUCCUGGUGUAGCGGUGGAAUGCGCAGAUAUCAGGAAGAACACCGGUGGCGAAGGCGGGUCUCUGGGCCGUUACUGACGCUGAGGAGCGAAAGCGUGGGGAGCGAACAGGAUUAGAUACCCUGGUAGUCCACGCUGUAAACGUUGGGCACUAGGUGUGGGGGCCACCCGUGGUUUCUGCGCCGUAGCUAACGCUUUAAGUGCCCCGCCUGGGGAGUACGGCCGCAAGGCUA